CUCAGAUUGAACGCUGGCGGAACGCUUUACACAUGCAAGUCGAACGGUAACGCGGGGAGGAGCUUGCUCCACCCCGGCGACGAGUGGCGAACGGGUGAGUAAUACAUCGGAACGUGUCCGCUCGUGGGGGACAACCAGCCGAAAGGUUGGCUAAUACCGCAUGAGUUCUACGGAAGAAAGAGGGGGACCCGCAAGGGCCUCUCGCGAGCGGAGCGGCCGAUGACUGAUUAGCCGGUUGGUGAGGUAACGGCUCACCAAAGCAACGAUCAGUAGCUGGUCUGAGAGGACGACCAGCCACACUGGGACUGAGACACGGCCCAAACUCCUACGGGAGGCAGCAGUGGGGAAUAUUGGACAAUGGGGGGAACCCUGAUCCAGCGACGCCGCGUGAGUGAAGAAGUAUUUCGGUAUGUAAAGCUCUAUCAGCAGGGAAGAAAGAAAUGACGGUACCUGACUAAGAAGCCCCGGCUAACUACGUGCCAGCAGCCGCGGUAAUACGUAGGGGGCAAGCGUUAUCCGGAUUUACUGGGUGUAAAGGGAGCGUAGACGGCGAUGCAAGUCUGAAGUGAAAGGCGGGGGCCCAACCCCCGGACUGCUUUGGAAACUGUAUAGCUGGAGUGCANGAGAGGUAAGUGGAUUCCNUAGUGUAG
rnacentral:rRNA from 1 species